CGGCUGGAUCAGUGACAGGUGCUGCAUGGCUGUCGUCAGCUCGUGUCGUGAGAUGUUGGGUUAAGUCCCGCAACGAGCGCAACCUCAUCCUCAGUUGCCAUCAUUUAGUUGGGCACUCCGAGGAAACUGCCGGUGAUAAGCCGGAGGAAGGUGGGGAUGACGUCAAGUCCUCAUGGCCCUUACGCGCUGGGCUACACACGUGCUACAAUGGCAACUACAGUGGGCAGCGACCUCGCGAGGGGUAGCUAAUCUCCAAAAGUUGUCUCAGUUCGGAUUGUUCUCUGCAACUCGAGAGCAUGAAGGCGGAAUCGCUAGUAAUCGCGGAUCAGCAUGCCGCGGUGAAUACGUUCCCAGGCCUUGUACACACCGCCCGUCACACCAUGGGAGUUGGUUUCACCCGAAGGCAGUGCUCUAACCCGCAAGGGAGGAAGCUGACCACGGUGGGAUCAGCGACUGGGGUGAAGUCGUAACAAGGUAGGCGUAGUGCU
rnacentral:rRNA from 1 species